AGGGUUCGAUUCUGGCUCAGGAUGAACGCUAGCUACAGGCUUAACACAUGCAAGUCGAGGGGCAGCAUGAUUCUAGCUUGCUAGAAUUGAUGGCGACCGGCGCACGGGUGAGUAACGCGUAUCCAACCUUCCCUAUAGUAGAGGAUAGCCCGGCGAAAGUCGGAUUAAUACUCUAUGUUGUUCAAUGCGGACAUCUAAGUUGAACCAAAGGUUUACCGCUAUAGGAUGGGGAUGCGUCUGAUUAGAUGGUAGGCGGGGUAACGGCCCACCUAGUCGACGAUCAGUAGGGGUUCUGAGAGGAAGGUCCCCCACAUUGGAACUGAGACACGGUCCAAACUCCUACGGGAGGCAGCAGUGAGGAAUAUUGGUCAAUGGGCGCGAGCCUGAACCAGCCAAAGUAGCGUGCAGGAUGACGGCCCUAUGGGUUGUAAACUGCUUUUAUACGGGGAUAAAGUGGGGGACGUGUCCCUCUUUGUAGGUACCGUAUGAAUAAGGACCGGCUAAUUCCGUGCCAGCCGCCGC
rnacentral:rRNA from 1 species